CCCCCCCCGCCGAAUUUCACUUUCACUUUCACUCACACACACAGUCACACUUAAGUCUUAACAACACCCAACACCCGUAGCCCUAAAUCCCACCCCAACACCCCUAAUCUCAGUCGACACUCGACAGUCAAAUCGGGAAAAUGAAAAACCCACUAUUUCUCUUCCGUCGGAGUCGCCGAGUUGGAGUGUCGGACCACCAACACUAGUACGGCAGUACCCAGACCCAGGGCCAGGUUUGCUUUCUCAAAAUCUUUGAAUAUAAUGUAUUUUACUGUCACAAAUUCAACUUUACAACUAAUUAAUGGAAUAAAUGAAUUAAUUAAUUAAUAAAACAAAAGUAAAUUACAAGCAAUCCUUUGGGUUUUAACAGAACAAAACAUGUUCUGUUUUUUUACUUUAAAACAACUCAUGUUUGUGAAGUCCUUAAAGGUUGCUUCAACUUUAAUUUAUGGUCCCUCAAAAGAAAGAAAGAAAGAAAUCUACAUAAAUUGUGCUGUGAAUUAUUAUUAUUAUUAUUAUUAUUAUUAUUAUUAUUAUUUCUCAUUAUUUGUGUUCUUAGAUACAUAAGAUACACGUGAUUAAUCCGUUUGGUUACCAAAUCUAAUGUCGGUGGCGAGUAUCCAAAAUAUAGGAUCAAUAAUAAUACGGGAGACAAAAAAAAUAUAGUGAGGGUCUUUUCGUUGUCUAUUAAUUAAUUAAUUAAUUAAUUAAAAUUAAUUAUGUAAGAAAAGAAAAAAAGCUUGGUUACCAAGUCUUCUACCCUGGAAAGUUCACCCAAUUAUUGUCUUUUGGAAAAUUUAAUUAAUUAACUAAAUUAAAUAGUUUGAACUUAGAAAUUAGUCAAACAGGGAAUUGAAGCUCCCUGGUUUAUUACUUUUUAGGCCACAACAGUAUUUGUACUUCUCUUUAGCUUAGCAAAUAUCAAUAUAUCACUUUGAGAUUGAUACCAAGUAUUUGGAAAGUAGUUUGGACUAAGAUUUUUUGAUAUAAAGUGUUUUGGAAAGUAGUUUGGACUAAGAUUUUCGAGUAAUUCGGGUAAUUCGGGUAAUUCGAGUAAUUUUUAACCAAAAAUGAACAACACAUAUUUUUCGGUUAAUUCGGUUAACCGGCCUUAUUAACCGAAAAAAUUUUGGUUCGGUUAAUUUUUUUUUAAAUUUCGGUUCGGUUAACGGUUAAAAAUUUUGGGAGGUCGGUUAAUUCGGUUAUAACAAUUUCGGGUCGGUUAACCGAAUGAACACCCCUAGAGGUCGCACAUGGGCGUGUAAGAUAUCCACAUGGCCAUGUCUAGAGCCACACGGGUUAGGCACUGUCACAUGGCUUGGGCAUACAACCAUGUGACCCCUGAUUUGAAAAUUUUUAAAUUCUACUUGAAUAUUUUGAUUUGUUCCGAAUUGGUCCCUAAAUGCCCGUAAAUUUUUUUUUUAGGUUUCGAAACUAAAUUUAGGGCCAUAUUUGAAAGUCCUAUGUCAUUUUUGAAUAUUUCACAUAGUUAUGAAAUUAAAUUGAUAAUUGAAUGUAAAUCGUUAUAAAUUGUUCCAACUUUAUUGGUAAUAUUUUGUAUCCUAUUUCGACAAUGGAAACGAAAUAUGGGUGUUACAAGAACGUUCUCAAGUGUGGUUGUACACUUACCGCAUGAAAGAUAGAAUGUGUGUGUCUUGGGUCUCCAUCUUUCCACCAACGCGCUUGUAAGUGUGGGAUCCAAUUUACACCCCUAAGCAUAUGGGACAGGUGAAAGAAUCCUACAACUUCCAAAUAGGGUUCAAUCACACGCGCUGACCUUGUAGAUAGAUUGUGUAUACAUGUCUCCAAAAUUCGAUUUUUAGCCUGAAUAUAAAAAAAACUAUAAAACAAUAAACUUUAAUCUUUUUAACAACUUAUUAAUGAACUUAAAUAAAAUUAUAAAUAUUAGAAAUAUUUUCUUACUAUUUGCAGUUGAAUCGCGAAAAUGUGAUUGUCAUUGAAACGAAUAAGAAUAUUUGUCAUUCCAAACUUGAAUUAAAACAAAUAAAAAUUGAAAAACAGAAUUAAAUCAAGACGAACUUGAGUGAAUUUUAAUUAAAAUUUUAGAACUAAAUCCUUGAGAGAAUUGAUAGAAAUGGAUUUGAAUGAAAAAAUGAGGAAAAUAUUUGAGUUCAUAUAGAAAUAAAAACUAGACGUUUCUUUUUAUGAUUGUUGGAGAAGGUUAUCGUUGGGUGAAAACACGUCCAGCUGGGUGUGUUUUCCCCUUUCUCUCCAAAACUGACCUAUGCCAAUAAAUAUGCUACAAAUCGACUUAAUCACUCAAUUAACUUUUAAAAUAGCAUUUAUUCCUAAUUUAACCAUAAGUUUUAGUGGUUUAGUAUUUUUGUUUAUCAGAUUUAAAGUGGGGAUAUUUUUCAAAUAUUUAUAAAUGUAAUUUUUUCCCUUAAAGAAAGGAAUAGAAGUAAGAAAUGAAAUGUGGAGAUGGUGACAUUAGAUAUGGGUUUUUGGAAGUAAACUGAGAGACGCCAAGGGGAAUUUUUAACUUUUAUCGCCGCUGGACUUAAUUACAAACAUCGAGAUUAUAUGAUGAAUUGAUGGACACUUUAUGGGCUGAACUGGCUGCUUCACAUGCUCAUGUAUCGUCACCUUCAUACUCAUCCCCUCGGAUGAGUUUGAUUUGGAGAAAAGCCAAAGCAUAAAACGAGACUACUUCACGUACUCGUAGUCUUUGAAAAUUUAAAAUUUAAUUAUUUUAUUUUUAUGUUUUAAAAUUGAGGUUCAACUCUAAUUUUAUUUUUUUUUAUUUGUUAAAUUUUAGAAUUCUUUUAACUACAUAGUUAUUAAUUUUUUUAUUUUAAAAUAUCAUAUCAACAAAUUUUUAAAAAAAAAUUAAUAAAAUUAAGAAUUAGACUUUAAUUUUAAAAUCUUAUAAGAACUAAUUUCUUAAAAAUAAAAAAUAUUAAAACUAAAUUUCAAAUUUAUGAAAAAUAUGAAGACUCAUAUCAUAUCUUAACAUAAAAAAAAAAUUAAAAAGUGACCAAAUUAACUUACACAACAAAAAAAGAUCCUACCAAAAAAAAUUCAGCUCAAAACAACUAAACAUAAAAAAACACAAACAAGUUUUAACUCAAAAUUUAUAAAAAUUCAAUUUCAAAAAAGCCCGGAACUCAAAAAGAAUUUUAACAAUUCGAAUUAAAUGUUUUCUUAUAAAAUCUUUAAUUCUUAUUUUUAUUCUAAUAUUUUUAAUAAACUAAUUAUAUACUUUAUUUGAAAUAAUAAUUCUUUUAGGAAAUAUGAUUACUAGGUAUAAAAGUAUGAGUCAAAAGUAUAUUUGUAUUUAGAGAAAUUAUUUGGUUCUCAUUAGAAAAACAUUUAUAAUAAAUGACAAUUAAUUUAAUAAAAAUAUAAUACAAUAUUACUAGUAAAUUUUAUUAAACUCGUAAAUUUGGUUUUAUCAUUUUUAUUGAUUUAAUGACAAAUUUAACUCCUUAAUAUUUUUUUCUUUUUAAAUCAUUUUAACCUCCACCCUUUAAAUUUUAAUUAAGUAAAAGAAUUAACUAAUUUGUUAAAAUUUUGCAACCCACUAACAGUAUACAUGUAGUUCAUAAAAAAUAAAAAAAACAUAAUUUUAUUUUUUAUUUUUUAAAUUUCCCAGGUGAUGUAAGCAACCACGUAAGUAUUGGUAAAAUUUUCAUAAUUCAAUUAGUUUUUUUUUAAACGAAAAACUUUAAAAAAAAAAAAGAAAAAAAAAACUAAAGUGAAAAAAAAAGUAAUUGUCGGGACUAAAUUUAUCAUUAUUUCUAUUUUAUUUUAUCAUGAAUAACACCAUAUAUAUAAUUAGAACUAUCCUAUUACAACCUAAUAGUAAAUUAAUAAUUUAUAUGAAGAUGUAAAUAUUUAAAUUAUGUGUAUAUACUUACAUUUAAUGCAAAACAAACCCAAACUUUUUCCUAACCCAAAAUAAAUCCGACCUGAACCCUUACCCACCGAUUGUCACCUGUAAUUAUAGACGACACAGUUACAUUAUAUAAACAGAUAAUAUAUAUAUAUAUAUAUAAAGAGUACAUGGAAGCAUCACCAAACAUGACAUGAAUAGUUGAAUACACAAAUAUCUUAAAAUCUAUAUAAUACCUAGUAUUAUCAUAUCAAAAUUAAAUAAAAAUACAUUAAAACACAAUUAUACUAUUAUAAAAUAUAUGAACAUGAUACCUGUAUAUGAAUUGUCAGGUACAAGCAGCAUACAACUGAUUAGCAUUAACUAAGACAGGCAAAAUACAGCAUCUUCAGCAGAACUAUACAGGGGCGCAGACGAGUUUAUUUCAGAUACAGUAUCAUAACAUGAGCCACUGCAAGUUAUACUGAUUUGCUUGAAAG
rnacentral:lncRNA from 1 species